rnacentral:rRNA from 1 species
UACGGGGGGGGUAAGCGUUGUUCGGAAUUACUGGGCGUAAAGGGCUCGUAGGCGGCCAACUAAGUCAGACGUGAAAUCCCUCAGCUUAACUGGGGAACUGCAUCCGAUACUGGAUGGCUUGAAUCCGGGAGAGGGAUGCAGAAUUCCAGGUGUAGCGGUGAAAUGCGUAGAUAUCUGGAGGAAUACCGGUGGCGAAGGCGGCAUCCUGGACCGGCAUUGACGCUGAUGAGCGAAAGCUAGGGGAGCAAACGGG